rnacentral:lncRNA from 1 species
UGGUUUUGGCGAUGUAUUAACCGACCAAACCGUUGACAAGAAGCAGCUCAUCGACGACGUGAGGAAGGCUCUCUACGCGUCGAAAAUCUGCAGCUACGCGCAAGGGAUGAACCUAAUCCGCGCCAAGAGCAUGGAGAAAGGGUGGGGCCUUAAGCUAGGCGAGCUGGCGAGGAUCUGGAAAGGAGGGUGCAUCAUCAGAGCAAUCUUCUUAGACAGGAUCAAGCAAGCUUACGACAGGAACGCAGAGCUGGCUAACCUCUUGGUGGAUCCCGAGUUUGCGAAAGAGAUCAUCGAGAGGCAGUCGGCUUGGAGGAGAGUGGUCUGCUUGAGCAUCAACUCGGGUAUUAGCACUCCUGGUAUGUCUGCGAGUCUGGCGUACUUCGAUUCUUACAGGAGAGAGAGGCUGCCGGCGAACCUUGUACAAGCUCAGAGAGAUUACUUUGGUGCUCAUACUUAUGAAAGGACUGAUGUUGAAGGUUCUUUCCACACCGAGUGGUUCAAGAUCGCAAGACAAUCCAAAUCCAACAUGUAAUGAUGAUGUUUCACUCUCCGUUUCUCUCCUUC